AUAAUGCAGUCGACGAACUCUGGUAUUGAUUGGUGCUUGCAUCAUGAUUUACAUUUGAGUGAGUGGCGAACUGGUGAGUAACACGUGGGAAACCUGCCCAGAAGCGGGGGAUAACACCUGGAAACAGAUGCUAAUACCGCAUAACAACUUGGACCGCAUGGUCCGAGUUUGAAAGAUGGCUUCGGCUAUCACUUUUGGAUGGUCCCGCGGCGUAUUAGCUAGAUGGUGGGGUAACGGCUCACCAUGGCAAUGAUACGUAGCCGACCUGAGAGGGUAAUCGGCCACAUUGGGACUGAGACACGGCCCAAACUCCUACGGGAGGCAGCAGUAGGGAAUCUUCCACAAUGGACGAAAGUCUGAUGGAGCAACGCCGCGUGAGUGAAGAAGGGUUUCGGCUCGUAAAACUCUGUUGUUAAAGAAGAACAUAUCUGAGAGUAACUGUUCAGGUAUUGACGGUAUUUAACCAGAAAGCCACGGCUAACUACGUGCCAGCAGCCGCGGUAAUACGUAGGUGGCAAGCGUUGUCCGGAUUUAUUGGGCGUAAAGCGAGCGCAGGCGGUUUUUUAAGUCUGAUGUGAAAGCCUUCGGCUCAACCGAAGAAGUGCAUCGGAAACUGGGAAACUUGAGUGCAGAAGAGGACAGUGGAACUCCAUGUGUAGCGGUGAAAUGCGUAGAUAUAUGGAAGAACACCAGUGGCGAAGGCGGCUGUCUGGUCUGUAACUGACGCUGAGGCUCGAAAGUAUGGGUAGCAAACAGGAUUAGAUACCCUGGUAGUCCAUACCGUAAACGAUGAAUGCUAAGUGUUGGAGGGUUUCCGCCCUUCAGUGCUGCAGCUAACGCAUUAAGCAUUCCGCCUGGGGAGUACGGCCGCAAGGCUGAAACUCAAAGGAAUUGACGGGGGCCCGCACAAGCGGUGGAGCAUGUGGUUUAAUUCGAAGCUACGCGAAGAACCUUACCAGGUCUU
rnacentral:rRNA from 2 species